GCGCGGGUGGUGAAAUCGGUAGACACGCCAUCUUGAGGUGGUGGUGCCCGUAAGGGCUUGGAGGUUCAAAUCCUCUCCCGCGCA
rnacentral:tRNA from 1 species